GUGCGGUGCCCGCCGGGCCGCCCACAACACACCCGGCGAGGGAGGGAGGGAGGGAGGGAGGGAGGGGCGGCUGAGGACCUGCAGGAUAUGGUGCAACUGUGAGGGUACAGACGGGACAGGGGAUCCACACAUGAAACCAAAGGGGACCCACCGGGCGGGACGUGGCUCAGGAGGAAAGUGAGAGACGUGCAGGGGAACGUGGAGCCCAGAGUUUUUCAAUCUGUGGGAACUAUUCAGCUGAGGAAGGAGACAGCAUAACUCACAAAUUACUCAGUCAGAACAUAACAUUUUCGAGGAAAAAAAAAAUCUGAUGCAAUAGCAUCCAGAUUCCUCUACAUUCAUGGGUGAAACAAUACAGAAAUGAGGAGAGGAACAGGAGGAGACCAGUGUGGUGAAAAGGUGGAGGGAAGAAUGUAAUCCUCACUGCUCAUCUCUGUCAUGAAUUAAAUUCUGCUCUCCAGUUUGCCUUUUGUACUGUAGAAGCCACAGCUUUCCAGCUCCAGGCUCGGACCUACAAUAAAGCAUUGCAGAGGCAUUCUCUUCCUGGAAAUUGUCUUCUUUUCCAGGAUUUCUUGCAAGCUUUCUACUUCAUGCACUUCAGGUCUGCAGCAGCUGUCCCUGGAAUGACACCAGUUUUGGGGGGAUGCUGUUAAUUUAGUGGUGAUGGCUCAAACACUGAAGUGUUUGUCAGAAGGUCUAUGGACUGAGGAUCAUGCUGUAGAAAGAGGCUGGCUGAAACUUCUGAUGCUUCUUGGUGCAGUUUUGUCCCAUUUAUUAUUAUUAUUAUUAUUAUUAUUAUUAUUAUUAUUAUUAUUAUUAUUAUUAUUAUUAUUAUUAUUAUUUCCCUUGCAGUAGCUCUUAGCAGGUCAGUAAGAUCAGAGCUGCAUCACACUGAAGGUGCUGAGCCACAGGGCUGCAGCCUGGAACAGCACAAGAGGGGCAGAGCUGGGGCACAGGGAAAGGAAGGUGAUGCCAGAAGUUGACAGUUGCAGCAAUGCCUGGGGUGCUGUGGGCAGUGUGUUGGAGGGGAGCUGGAGAAGAAGUGAGGGGCUCCAGAGCAAACAGGGUGGUGUGGGAAGAGAGCACAGAGGUGGUGUGGGGAGGUCUCUGGGGGGUAGGAAGGGACCUUGCCUAAAAGACUGACUUAAGUAGUGUUGCAAUAAAGGCUGCAAAAGAGAGAAGUAAAUUUGAAAUUUAUUUCUGAGCAUGGCAAGUGCUCUCUUUUCCUUUCCUAGCCCCAGGUCCCUCUUUAUUCAGCCUCACACCAUGCGCCAGCAACUCACAAGUUGUACCUGGCAGAGGCCAGGUUUGAAUCUAUUGCUCUCUACUUGCUGUAAAACACCAGUACUUAUAAAAUGUCAGAGGGGGACAAUGUCUCAACUCCAAGAGAGGUUGGCUCUCCUUCCGUCUGCCCCAGCUCUCAGACCAGUCUCGACACUUUGCUUCAUUUUAGCAUCAAAAACGAUUGCAACACGCUUUCCACCUCCUGAAUCUGCUGCUGGAUGCUCUGCUUGGCAGUGCCGGGGCCCAAAGCUCCCCAGGCAGUCCCAGGCCCUGUCUCCUGAACUCCUUCGCUUCUUUUGUUACAGACCAGAACCCUCCCCCCCGAAUGCUCCCUCACCCUAUUCCCAUGUGACAUGGUGAUGCUCAGGUUUUUGUUGGUCUUCUGCUGAUUUU